UGAGGAUGAAAGCGUUUAGCCUUUUCAAGGUGCCAGGAAGGCAAGAUCAAGACAGUUUAUUAGCCAGCAACUACAGAAAGAACUUAUCUCAGCAAAGUGACCAACGGAAUAAGAGGACAUGGAGCCAGCCUCAUUUCUGAGCAUACUUCAAGAUGCCUUCCAAGCAUGGGCUUCCCCACACUCUUCCUUACCCAGAGAGUUAUCCAAGGACCACAGGAUGCUCUGCAUGUGGCAAACCUGCCACUGAACUUACCAUCAAACAGUAUAACUUCCUGGAAACCAGAAGCCAGGAGAAACUGCAGGGAAUUUACUGGAUUACCUGGGCAGCAGGCCUCAGUUGUUCCACUGUGAAGGUUGUGACCAGCACAGCCCCAACCCAGCUGCAAUCAACAAGCCUCAGAAUUUCCGCAGAGUGGAGCAAAGCCAGCACAGCUCAGACCAGGCUGCAAUCAGGGAGGAGGGGCCAAAGCCCUGAGGGGCCAAUCCCAAGCUGGCAUGGCUUGACAGACAGCCUGCCAACCACUAGU